AACGCACGAGACCUGCGGACCUGCGGAGGGAUCAUUAUUGAAUAAAAUAUGAGUUAGGUUGCUGCUGGCUUUUUUGGAGCAUGUGCACACCGACUUCAUUUUUAUCUUUCCCUGUGCACCCUUGCAUGGAUCUGAAUCUUCUUGAGGAAACUCAGUUUUGAGAACUGUUGUGCUAUGAAGCCAACUUUUUUCAGCUUCAGAUUUAUGUAUUCUUUAACACCCAUACAUGUAUGAAUGUUU
rnacentral:misc_RNA from 1 species